UAACUGGUUGAAUUCUGCGAGGACGGCCAGACUAGUGACCGGGAGAGGUAUGGGGUACUCUCAGGGUAGGGGUAAAAUCCUGUCAUCCUGAGGGGACCACCUGUUGCGAAGGCGCCAUACUAGAACGGAUCCGACGGUUAGGGACGAAGCCUAGGGGCACGAACCGGAUUAGAUACCCGGGUAGUCCUAGGUGUAAACGCUGUGGACUUGGUGUUGGGGAUUCUACGAGUAUCCCCAGUGCCGGAGUGAAGAUGUUAAGUCCACUGCCUGGGGAGUACGGUCGCAAGGCUGAAACUUAAAGGAAUUGGCGGGGGAGCACAGCAACGAGAGGAGCGUGCGGUUUAAUUGGAUUCAACGCCGGAAAACUCACCAGUGCCGACGGACAUAUGAAGAUCAGCGUGAUGAGCUUAUUGGAUUGUUCGAGAGGUAGUGCAUGGCCGUCGUCAGUUCGUACCGUAAGGCGUUCUGUUAAGUCAGAUAACGAACGAGACCCCUAUCGUCUAUUUGCUAGACGGAUCUCCGGAUUCGUCGCACUAUAGCGAGACCGCUGGCGUGAAGUCAGAGGAAGGUGGGGGCAACGACAGGUCAGUAUGCUCCGAAUGCACUGGGCUACACGCGCGCUACAAAGGCCAGGACAAUGGGUCUGCCACGCCGAGAGGCGGCGCUAUCCCGAAACCUGGUCGUAGUUCGGAUCGAGGGCUGUAAUUCGCCCUCGUGAAGCUGGAUUUCGUAGUAAUCGCGUCUCAAAAUGGCGCGGUGAAUAUGCCCCUGCUCCUUGCACACACCGCCCGUCAAACCAUCUUAGUUGGGGGUGGGUGAGGCUACCUUAUUUUGGGGUAUUCGAGCCUGCCUUCGACAAGGAGGGUUAAGUCGUAACAAGGUAUCUGUAGGGGAACCUGCAGAUG
rnacentral:rRNA from 1 species